UGGGGUGCUCGAGUGGCGAACGGGUGAGUAACACGUGAGUAACCUGCCCUUGACUUUGGGAUAACUUCAGGAAACUGGGGCUAAUACCGGAUAGGAGCUCCUGCUGCAUGGUGGGGGUUGGAAAGUUUCGGCGGUUGGGGAUGGACUCGCGGCUUAUCAGCUUGUUGGUGGGGUAGUGGCUUACCAAGGCUUUGACGGGUAGCCGGCCUGAGAGGGUGACCGGCCACAUUGGGACUGAGAUACGGCCCAGACUCCUACGGGAGGCAGCAGUGGGGAAUAUUGCACAAUGGGCGGAAGCCUGAUGCAGCAACGCCGCGUGCGGGAUGACGGCCUUCGGGUUGUAAACCGCUUUCGCCUGUGACGAAGCGUGAGUGACGGUAAUGGGUAAAGAAGCACCGGCUAACUACGUGCCAGCAGCCGCGGUGAUACGUAGGGUGCGAGCGUUGUCCGGAUUUAUUGGGCGUAAAGGGCUCGUAGGUGGUUGAUCGCGUCGGAAGUGUAAUCUUGGGGCUUAACCNNGAGCGUGCUUUCGAUACGGGUUGACUUGAGGAAGGUAGGGGAGAAUGGAAUUCCUGGUGGAGCGGUGGAAUGCGCAGAUAUCAGGAGGAACACCAGUGGCGAAGGCGGUUCUCUGGGCCUUUCCUGACGCUGAGGAGCGAAAGCGUGGGGAGCGAACAGGCUUAGAUACCCUGGUAGUCCACGCUGUAAACGGUGGGUACUAGGUGUGGGGUCCAUUCCACGGGUUCCGUGCCGUAGCUAACGCUUUAAGUACCCCGCCUGGGGAGUACGGCCGCAAGGCUAAAACUCAAAGGAAUUGACGGGGCCCCGCACAAGCGGCGGAGCAUGCGGAUUAAUUCGAUGCAACGCGUAGAACCUUACCUGGGUUUGACAUGGAUCGGGAGUGCUCAGAGAUGGGUGUGCCUCUUUUGGGGUCGGUUCACAGGUGGUGCAUGGCUGUCGUCAGCUCGUGUCGUGAGAUGUUGGGUUAAGUCCCGCAACGAGCGCAACCCUUGUUCACUGUUGCCAGCACGUUAUGGUGGGGACUCAGUGGAGACCGCCGGGGUCAACUCGGAGGAAGGUGGGGAUGACGUCAAGUCAUCAUGCCCCUUAUGUCCAGGGCUUCACGCAUGCUACAAUGGCUGGUACAGAGAGUGGCGAGCCUGUGAGGGUGAGCGAAUCUCGGAAAGCCGGUCUCAGUUCGGAUUGGGGUCUGCAACUCGACCUCAUGAAGUCGGAGUCG
rnacentral:rRNA from 1 species